CAAAAUUCAUGGUCUUGGUUGCCGGCCGGGAGGACAUCCAGAGAGAGAAGAGGCUGAUGAGCAUGCUGGCAAAGUCGGUAAGCAGGUCCAACCCGGGCUCAGGCAAGGGCAUUGGAUUGGUCCCAUUCUGCCAAGGAGAUCCUGAGUAUGACCUGGGUAGAGAAGAAGACCUCCAUCCUUUUCCAUCCCAAGGGUUAGGCCCAAGGAUGGAGUGGGGAGACUACAGGUGACCCCCUUUGUCUUUUGUCUUGGAGCCUGAGUUACAUCAGCUGUGAAUGAGAGCCACCGGCUGCCCUAUCACCUGAUCUUGCUGUGGCCUCGAGGAGGGACUCUGGGUGGCAGCCCUUGGAUGCUUCCACGAUGCUGAAGAGAAGAAGACAGGGUGGGCUGAGAUCUCAUCUCUUGCCAUUCCAAAGCCCAAUGAAAGGAGCUCCCUUUGAAUUCUCUCAACUUGGAGAGUUGUUUAUCCCCCUGUUUCUCACUGGUUCCUCUAUAUUUAGCCACACUCCACUUCCAGAUGAGGGUACUGUUCCAUGCCACAGAGGAUCUGGCAUAAGGAUGCAUACAGUAAGGGAGUGAGGCAGUCCUGAAAAUAGUCAACCAAGGGCUGAAAAUCAGGAGCCCCCGGGUUCUAAUCUUGACUCUGUUUACUUGCUGGGGAUCUUAAAUAAAUGACUUUAUCUUUGUUAA